UCAAUUCGUUUUGGAUAAAAACAAAAAUCUACUAAUACUUACCAUUUGCUAGUAUUUUCAAUAAAACUGAAUUACUUUUGCAAUAAUGAUUAUUUAAAAAAGGGUUGUUUUUUUUGUGAAUGUGAAUAUAUAUUGCUAUCGUAUAAUUCAUCAUAAAAUAUUGUGUACACUAAUAUGAAUAUGCCUUUAACUACAUAUAUACAUUGUGGUGUUUAAAAAUUAUCCUUAUUAUACAGAUUUGUAAAAUGAUAAUUGUUUUAAAAUAGGACUCGAAAGAUCACUGCACACAAUUAAACAAUAUAGUAUAAACAUGAUAAAUAUCCAAUAUUAAUUUGUUAAAAACUAACCAGGGGUUACAUUGAUUCAACGAUAAACGUGUAGACUUAAAGCGCUAUUCAUAUUCGUUUUUAUAUGGGACGUUGUUUUUUCAUAUGAAUAUAUCUAAAUAAUAAUUUCUGACUGUUUUUAUUUUUAAAAAAGCUUUGUUAAAUGAGGUAUUCAUUCACAUCAUUAUAAGGGUGUGAUGUAGAGAAAUUGACAGUAUAUUUCAACCUUAUUAUUGGCCAUACAAAGCUGGUAACUAGGGAAUACGCCUUUGACAGGCUGAUGGACAUUUAUGUAGCAAUUAUAAUUACAAAUGUGUAUAGAAAGAUAAAUACUUCGAUUUUUAUAUUGUGCAGUGGGUGUUUUUCCAAGGUAAUUUUUUUAUGUUCAAGUGACUGUGAUGAGCAGGUAUAGACAGCACAGCAACACAAAUGACUAUGAUGAAGUGAGAUCAAAGGAGAAUAAAAAGAAACCGGAAUAUGUAAUUCAACAUCCGCCAACGCGCGACGUCAGUUGUCAGACGAGAACACCUUACGUGAUACAACCGCAGCCUAAACAGAUAAAACCUUUGCGUAAUAAGCAACCUAUUGGGUAUGUAACGAAAGAAGAACCAGCUGAUAAAAAGGAUUUUCAAAGACAAGAUUAUAUACUAGUAGACUACCCACAGAAAUAUGUAAUUCAACGUCCGUCAACGCGCAACGUCCGUUGUCAGAUAAGAACACAUUACAUUAUACAACAGCCUAAACAAAGAAAACGUCCACGCAAUAAGCAAACUCAAGUCGUUCCUCAGCCUGAUCCACCUUCUCCGAGAACUCCGACUCCAUUACCCGACAACAUUGAAGUAAUAAUUUAUGACGAUGAAGGUUUUGAAUUAUUGUACCCAAAGUCACGUAACAACAGUUGUCAGUGCGUUCAUUAUAUAGAUUUGAGACAACCAGGCACAUUAGAAACAAAACCAAUUGAAAGAUUUGGACUUGAUAUCGUAUCUCAACUGAAGAAAAAAGGGUAUAUACAUGAUAAAGCCUCAUGUGAUGAUAGGUUGGAUACAAUGAACAACUCUUUGGAAAAACAUGGAACUGUGAAGAUAUUUUGUCACGAAGGAGAGCAAUUAAAAAACUCCACUUUAGCGGAAAUGCAGGAAAAGAACUUUAUAAAUCAAACCAUUGUUUAUGAUUAUAGAUAAAUGACGUACAUUUAUAUAAAGUUACAUAUCUAUGUUAUUGUUAAUAGUUUGAAGUUCAGACCUUUGCAGGACUAGCAUACUUAACAUGUUUUUUUCAUAUCAAACAUGUAUUUAAUAACAAUGUUUUUUUUUAAAUAAGGAGUGAACUCUAAGUUGGUCAUAUAUAGUUAAGGUUGUGACUUGUUUUGCUUUUAAUCCUCCCUGAUGUUUAAUUUAGGAAAAAAUGCUUUUUGUAGGUUAAAAGGGAAAAUUCUAGAUUUUUUACUUAUCAUCAAACUAUGUUCAUUAUAACAUAAAAACGACAUUUACAGAG